CGCCGGCCCCGCCUCCCAGGCCAGAGCAGCGGAGCCCCGAGCUGGUGCUCGGGGCAGGGGGAGCCGCGGGCCUGCACCUCCAAGAGCGGCGGGGUGGAGCCGGGGCUGCAGGCAGCCGGACGGAAUCAUUAGUUCAUUGAGUGACUGUAGCAGGCCUGUGGCAUGACAGUCACUGUCUGGGCUCUGUGAACACUGGUCUGUGCCCAGGGACCAGGACAGUGAGGCCCCUUGCCCUUGGAACAUGCAUGCUAGAGGGGACAAACAAAAGGAAAUGACUCAACAGGUAACAAUGUGUCCAUCAGGGAUAGUGAUAAGAAGAAAAAUAAAGCAAGACCAGAGGAUAGGGGGUGAUGGGAAUGAGGGAAAAAUUCUCUGGGGAUCUGGUCCUGAAGAAGAGACCUGAAUGAAGGAGGUGGAGGGCCCCAGGGGACACUGACCCUUCUUCUGUCUCGGAAGAGGCUGUGUGUUUGCCGGGGUUGCAGGCAGGUUCCCAGAGGAGGCCUGGAGUGGCCACUCCAAGGUUCCUGGGUGUCCUCAGUACAGGCAGCUCUGUCACCCCAACCUGCUUCAGCAAUUCCUGCCCAACACCCCCGGGAGAUGCUGUCUGGUGUCCACACCUUUCUAGAGAAUUUUUUCAUUUUUUACCUUAUGAAUUGUUAGGAAAGUCUUCUUUAUUUACUAGAAAAAUCUGCCUUUCUGAAACCUUCCCUCUAAAAUGGCAUAAAAUAAGAAAUCGUACUUCGCUAUUUGACAGCUCUUCAAAUAUUAGAAGAAACUUGUCAUUCCCCACUAGUCAUCUUUUAGAGAACAAUGUGCCCAGUUCCUUAAGUGUUAACAGUAACAUGAUUUCCAGACCCCAUACCAACUGGCCACUGUCCUUAAGACAGGCACCAGUUAGACAAUAUCCCUUUUAAAAUGUGACACCAGGAAGGGAACCUGAUAUCCUAAAUGUAGUGAACCUAGCACAGCGUCCUGGGGCUCCUGCAAGUUGACACUCUCCAAAGGUCAAUGUGGCCCAAAUCUGAAUUUGGUUUUUAACCAGUAUCCCUCUUUAUUAUGGCUGGCUGCUUAGCAUGCAUAGUUUUACCUAUUCUCCAUUUGCAAAGCUAACUUUAAAAAGAAACAGUUGCUGCUGCUUCUCUGCAUUUAAGUAACAUAUUCUACUUGUGGAAAACACAGAGAAAUAUUCAAAAUAAACUAAAACCUUUCACUGAAUGUUCAGAGAUAGUCUCUGUUAAUUAUUUGUUCUAUUUUCUUCCAGAUGGUUCUCUCUGCAUAUCUUUAUGUAGUAGAGAUUAUGCCAUGCAUAUGAUUUUUGCAUUCUUAUUUUUUCACAUUAUCAACAUAAACAUUUCCUUUCUUAUAAACAUCAUCUGUAAUCCUUAUAAAAUAAAUACUUCAAUGGUUUAUUUAUAAGGAUGUUUGUUGUGACAUUAUCUGUGAUACUGAAAAACUAGACAUGAGCUGUAUUCAUUCAUUCAACAAAUUUUUGUUGAACUCAUAUUAUAUACCAGACAUGCCAUUCUCAGUGCUGGAAAUAUGUCAGUGAGAAAGACAGAAAUCCUCACUGCUGUGGUGCUUAUGUUAAGCUAAUAAUUCAAUCAGGUGGUAGUUAAGUAGAACACACCCAUAAGAUGGAGUCUACACAGCACCCAAAAUUGUGUUUUUUAAGAAUAUUUAAUGGUAUGAGAAGACAUUCACAAUUUGCUAAAUUGAAAACAAGAUACAAAGUUGUAUGAUGCCAACACGUUCAUUUCUAAAGAAGCAUGUAUGGAGUAUACAUUCUUUCCACAAGCCUCUAAUUCAUUACAAGGGAGAAAAGAACUUCUAUAAUAAUGGCAUUGGUCAGACACCACCUUAACCAAAUGACCAAAGUCAACACCAUCAAGAGUGUGACCAGGCAACAUCCUGUGUGCUGAUGUGAUACUCAGAGAGAAGACUUAGAAUCCCCUGUGUUGAAGUUGCAGGUGGGAAUGUUCAAUCUGAAUCUGGUCAUGAGAAAACAACCAGGCAAACUCAGACAGAAGCUUGGUCUCCAGAACCGGCCCAGAGCCUGUCAGGCCUGGGACGUGUCUAGAGUAGGGACACAAGGAACAUAGGAGAAGUAAAUGCCACAACUAGACUGGGUGGGGAGGCAUUGUUGAGGCAAUUGGGAAAAUUUGAUUAUAGUCUAGAGAUUAGAUAAUAUUAUAACGUUGAAUGGAUGUAAAUAACCACACUGGGGAUAUGGGAGAACACCCUUGCUCUUAGGAGAUUGUCAAAGGGAAGUAUUUCCAGGUGGAGGGUCAUGGGUUGGCAAUUAAGCCUCACAAAGUUAAACCAAAACUACAAAAAGAGAGAGAGAGAGUGUGUGUGUAGAUAGAAUGCUCUGGGGCACUACAAUCUAAAAAAGUAUUUUAAAAGGCAUAAAAAAUGACAGGAAGGAAAUGGACCGAAUUAUGCAUUAUUUGUGGAUUCAGAAAAAAUUAUUUAAGUCUUUAAAAUAUCCUUAACGACUGCCUGUUUUAUAGAUGUGUGAUGGCUUACACUGUAGGCAGAGGGGAGCCGCCAACCCCCAAAUCAAGCAGGUGGGAUGAGCACACCGCGAUGCAGGGCGAGGGGUCCGAGAGGCCAGUCGGGGCUCGCUGGACUGAGGGGCCAAGGACAGGCGCUGUGGUCAGACGCAGAGUGAGCAGGCUGUCAGCCAGGGGCUGUCACAUGCCGUUGGGGGGAGGCCACUAUUUUGAACUGAGCUCCUGCGCUGGGCCCAGCAGACCAGACCAAGGCAGAAUGGAGUCACUCACGCUGGUGCCACAACGUCCCAGUGAACUCUGAAAGGGCUGGUUUUCCCAGAAACAGGAGAUUCACAGUGGCGAUCAAAAGGGUCCCAGUUUUCCUGAGCUGGCAUGACAAGCAUGGCAUGACAAGAAAGUCCCCUGUUUUAACCCUAUAAGGAAAGUAACUUUACUGAGGUUUGCCGCUGCACUCCAGCCUGGCGACAGCGUGAGACCAUGUCUGGAAAAAACAAAGGGAAAAAGAAAGUAGCUCUAAAAUGAUCCUUUUUGUUCCCUGUUUCUACUUUCUUCAGCCCUUUUCUGCCUACAGAGCCAAGCUCCUCUGCUCAUUGGAGUGCCUUUUCGGAAUCCCCCGUGAGAUGCUGCCCGAUUCAUAGAUCACUGAUAAAAGCCAAUUUGGCGUUUAAACUAAACUUGUUGGAGUUUUGUUUUUCAGCAAUGGGCUGUGGGCAGAGAGGAGGGAGAUGUCUGAAAGCACAUGGUGGAGACCUGGCAACUGUGCAGAGACUUGCUCUGUCGCCCAGGCUAGAGUGCUGUGGAGUC